AACGAACGCUGGCGGCAGGCCUAACACAUGCAAGUCGAGCGCUUCACUUCGGUGAGGAGCGGCGGACGGGUUAGUAACGCGUGGGAAUAUACCCUUCUCUACGGAAUAGCCUCGGGAAACUGAGAGUAAUACCGUAUAAGCCCUUCGGGGGAAAGAUUUAUCGGUGAAGGAUUAGCCCGCGUUAGAUUAGAUAGUUGGUGGGGUAAUGGCCUACCAAGUCUACGAUCUAUAGCUGGUUUGAGAGGAUGAUCAGCAACACUGGGACUGAGACACGGCCCAGACUCCUACGGGAGGCAGCAGUGGGGAAUCUUAGACAAUGGGCGCAAGCCUGAUCUAGCCAUGCCGCGUGAGUGACGAAGGUCUUAGGAUCGUAAAGCUCUUUCGCCAGAGAUGAUAAUGACAGUAUCUAGGUAAACGAAACCCCGGCUAACUCCGUG
rnacentral:rRNA from 1 species